GUCAGCACUGAACACGGGCCACUUACCAUGGACUUGGGGUUCAUACUGGUUUUCUUUGUCCUUAUUUUAAAAGGUGGCCAGUGUGAGGUGCAGUUGCUGGAGUCUGGGGGAGACUUAGUGCAGCCUGGAAAGUCCCUGAAACUCUCCUGUGCAGCCUCUGGAUUCACCUUUAGUAGUUAUGCAAUGGGCUGGGUCCGCCAGGCUCCCGGGAAGGGGUUGGAGUGGGUCGCAUACAUUAGCAGUGGUGGUGGUAGCACCUGGUAUAUCGACGCUGUGAAGGGCCGGUUCACAAUCUCCAGAGACAAUGCCAAGAACACUCUGUACCUGGAAAUGAGCGGACUGAGGUCUGAAGACACAGCUAUGUAUUACUGUGCAAGAAACACAAUGAGUGAAUGUUACUGUGAACUCAGACAAAAACAUGCCUGUGGGGAACACGGGACCAGCAGGGGGCGCUGA